rnacentral:rRNA from 1 species
UGGGGAAUAUUGGACAAUGGGCGAAAGCCUGAUCCAGCCAUGCCGCGUGUGUGAAGAAGGCCUUUUGGUUGUAAAGCACUUUAAGCGAGGAGGAGGCUACUUAGAUUAAUACUCUAGGAUAGUGGACGUUACUCGCAGAAUAAGCACCGGCUAACUCUGUGCCAGCAGCCGCGGUAAUACAGAGGGUGCGAGCGUUAAUCGGAUUUACUGGGCGUAAAGCGUGCGUAGGCGGCUUCUUAAGUCGGAUGUGAAAUCCCUGAGCUUAACUUAGGAAUUGCAUUCGAUACUGGGAAGCUAGAGUAUGGGAGAGGAUGGUAGAAUUCCAGGUGUAGCGGUGAAAUGCGUAGAGAGCUGGAGGAAUACCGAUGGCGAAGGCAGCCAUCUGGCCUAAUACUGACGCUGAGGUACGAAAGCAUGGGGAGCAAACA